rnacentral:snoRNA from 1 species
UUCAAAAUGCAUUUGAGUGGAUGCAGACAGCCCCCCUGGGGAGCGUAUGCGGCCUGUUGCCCGUCCAGGUUGCCCUAAGGAGCCCUGGAGACAGCC